rnacentral:misc_RNA from 1 species
AGGCAUCAGUUUGUUUUCGUAAAUGCUUAUGGUGGAAACUAUAUGACAAAUUAGACAUGGAAAAAAUGUUUCUUUUUUUUUUCAGAUGAGGAACCUUUCCCAUUUGAGUCCUCAGUUCUAUACAGACUUAAGGAUAUGAAUUUAUUCAAUCUUGAGAUUUCCUUUUGGUUUUUGGAAGAUGGGCAUUUACUAAUGGCUGAUGAUUCAUGUGUUGGAUAUGAAAUAUGCUAUUUCAAAAUAUGUGUAGUUGAAUUUCAUAAUGGACAAAAAUAUUUGAGGUGAAUCAUAAUUUUGUGAAUUGCUUGUUGUUUUGG